rnacentral:tRNA from 1 species
UUAAAGGUAAGCUAUACUAAGCUUUUAGGUUCAUACCCUUUAAAAAGAUCAUCUAUCUUCUUUAAU